UGGUGAGGUAACGGCUCACCAAGGCGACGAUGCGUAGCCGACCUGAGAGGGUGAUCGGCCACAUUGGAACUGAGACACGGUCCAGACUCCUACGGGAGGCAGCAGUGGGGAAUAUUGCACAAUGGGCGAAAGCCCGAUGCAGCAACGCCGCGUGAGUGAUGAAGGCUUUCGAGUCGUAAAGCUCUUUGAUCAGGGAUGAUAAUGACAGUACCUGAAAAACAAGCCACGGCUAACUACGUGCCAGCAGCCGCGGUAAUACGUAGGUGGCGAGCGUUGUCCGGAAUUACUGGGCGUAAAGGAUGCGUAGGUGGAUAUUUAAGUGGGAUGUGAAAUCCCCGGGCUCAACCCGGGAACUGCAUUCCAAACUGGAUAUCUAGAGUGCAGGAGAGGAAAGCGGAAUUCCUAGUGUAGCGGUGAAAUGCGUAGAUAUUAGGAGGAACACCAGUGGCGAAGGCGGCUUUCUGGACUGUAACUGACACUGAGGCAUGAAAGCGUGGGUAGCAAACAGGAUUAGAU
rnacentral:rRNA from 1 species